rnacentral:rRNA from 1 species
UACGUAGGGGCCUAGCGUUGUCCGGAAUUAUUUGGGCGUAAAGAGCUCGUAGGCGGUUUCGGCAAGUCGGAUGUGAAAUCUCCACGCUCAACGUGGAGGGGCCAUUCGAAACUGCCGUGACUCGAGUCCGGUAGGGGAGUGUGGAAUUCCCGGUGUAGCGGUGAAAUGCGCAGAUAUCGGAGGAACACCAGUAGCGAAGGCGGGUCUCUGGGCCGAAAUUGACGCUGAGGAGCGAAAGCGUGGGAGCAAACAGG